rnacentral:lncRNA from 1 species
AGUCUGAAGCAGGGCUGGGACAGAACAGCCCUGGGCGCGGUCCAACACCUCGCCAGGCCUCUAACCUGCCAGGAUCCCUCACGUGACAGGGGACUCAAUGACGUCGCCCUCUGGAAUCUUGGGGGUGCGUUCUGGGCAUUGGAGGUAAAGGAAGCGGAACGCAAUAGGAAGGGGAGCCCCAAGGCUGAGAGCGGCCCUGCGGAGCCGCAAGAAUCCGCGGAGACCCUCCUGACACCCAUUCACGGUCGACUCCCAGCAGAGGGGUCCCGCGACCCCUCCACUCCCUGCUCUCUUAGUGUGAGCGUCUGGAAUCCUGACCGCCCCAGCCAGCCUAGCCAUCCUGAUUUCUGUAUCUGAGAAUGUGGCAAGACCCAGACAUGUGGGGCACCUUACGUCAGAGGAAGUGGCUUUCUUGUUGCAGCAAAAAUGCCAGCACCUAUGUCAGAAAAAAAAUUGAGGGCUGGAAACUGUACCCGCUGAUCAGGUGCUAUCAACCUGCUAUGCUGAAGUUUACAUUCCAAGGAAAGCUUGCACAGAAACUCUGAAUUCAAUGUUGAAUGAAUAUCCCAGGAAGGAGUGGGAAUCUCUUGAAAAUCUUGUGCCACUGAAUGUUGUAACCCUGAGGUAUCCCAAGGGAGUGUCAUAAGCCAACAGCAGAAUUUUAGAAAGAACCUGGACGAAGGUCAAAUUUAUUGCCGUCAUUAACAAAUCUAGGGUAAGUUUCAGUCCCUCCUCUCUCUUUGUCUUUCUCAGAAUUAUAAUUCAAAAGGGAGCAGGUUGUUACAGAGAAGAGUAUUAAGUAGCCUCUGCUAAAUUGUCAGCUUCAAGAUUUGAUAGAAAGUAUAUUUAAAUGUAGAGUUAAGUCGAAUAUUUACAAAAAAUUAAAUGUUUACAUUUAAAUACAGUAACACGAAAAAAAUUAUAUGUAGUGUAUUAAUCGAAGUUCUCCAGAAAAAAAGAACCAAUAGGUUAGAGGUAUUUAUUUACUUCACUUAUGUAUUAUGAGAAAUUGGCUUAUGAGAUGAUAGAGGCUAAGAAGUCUCAUCAGCUGUGGUCUGCAGUCUAGAGACCCAGGAAAGCCAGUGUUGUUCUUCAGUCUGGUCUGAAGUCCUGACAACCAGGGAGCUGACAGCGUAAAUCUUAGUCCCAGGGCAAGAGGAAAUAAGGUGAAAUGUCCUAGUUCAAACAGUGAGGCAGGAAUAAAAGGGGCGACUUUCUCCUUCCUCUACCUUUUAUAGAUUAGAUGGUGCAAGGGUGAUUGGGGGGUGGGGGGUGGGGUGGGUGUAGAGGCUACAUUAUUGAGUUCAUGGAUUCAAGAGCUAAUAACAUCAUUCAGAAAUACCUUUAUAGACACAAUCAGAAAUGUUUAAUCUGAGCACCCCAUGGCAGGUCAAGUUCAUACAUAAAAUUAACCAUCACAAAGUGAUUGCUGUGGUGUACAUCCCAGAUUCUCCCUUUAAAAUCAAGAUACCGAUUUCUCUGGCUGCUUGGAAUGGUGACUUCUCACAGCCCUGUUUCCAACUUGAUGGCUGCUUACAAAUCUGCCCUUCUCAAUGCUAUAGUCCUCCCUGGGGUCAGCCUUCAUGUAGUGACUAGCUCAGUGUAGGCAUAUUAAGGCCCCACCACUUGCCUUCAUUUGAAACAUCUCCAUAGGGCCAUUCCUGCUUUAGGUCUCAAACUAAAGGAAGUGCCUCACCACAGGAGUAACAGCUACAACUUGUAAAAAAUUAAUAAACUGAAACGUCAAUUAAAUAGAGUUGGGAGAUCAAAAAGGGGAACUUUCAUACUCUGUGAUAAAAGUGAUAGCAGAGCCCAACAGGAAGAAGAAAAACUCUUUUUUUCCUGACAAGGUUUCAGCCAAUGAAAGUCAUGGACUCUUUGUUUACUAUAACCCUCCUAAUUUCCUUUUCCCCUCUAUAAAAGCAUUCUCCUUUGCCUUGCAGUGUGAGAAUUUGUAUGUGACUCACAGGGUUGCAGAUCCUGAAUUGCACUUCUCUGCUGAUCCCAAAUAAAUCAUCUUUGCAGGGAAAUAUCUGUCUAUUUCAGGUCAACAAAGUAAUAAUCAUUUGUUAAGCAUUGGUAAAAGCCCUUUUCUAGUUUACUUUACAGAGAUUGAGAAAGCGAAUAACUGUAAUUGCUGGGUAAUAAAUUCUUUAGUGAGUUAGGUGGUUUCAAAUUUUUUGCUUUCAACAAAAUUGCAAUAGGAUCAGAUUGGGUUGUCAGAUAAUGCACAUUAGGUAUAAUUUCUGAUGAUAGCUUAUUAAGUGAUUUCUGAAUGUAACUUGGAAAAAAUCCAAAGAAUUGAGUAAAUUUCCUACAGUAAAUCUCCUUCAGUUCCCAUAUGUUUAUAUAAACAAGGUUUCACAGUUUAAUUUAUAAAACUAAAAUAAAGAUAAUGUUGGAUCUUAUCUCAUUUAGCCUGAAGUAUUAUUCAACCAAGGAUAAACAAAUUAAAGCGCCAUUCACCUCAUUAAAUUAUACUUCCAGUAAAAUUUUGCUUCUACAUAUUACUUGAUAGGUUGUAUACUGCUAAUAAUUUUUGUUGUAAUUUAAUCCAGAGAAGAUUUUUUAAUAGAGUCUUAUAGUAAUAAGAAAUAAAAUAAAGAAAUAUCAACUAAUAUAUUUAUUUUAUUGAGGGAAAUGUAAUAGGGUAAUAAUUAAAAGUUAAAAAUUUUAAAUGUUAAUUUUUUUGGAUAAAAAUCUGUGGAGGGAAAUAGAAUGGAAGUAUCAUUUCAAGGAGAAAAAGAAAUGAUAUAAAAUUUCUAACCAUUGAAGAAGUACCAACUUGUGUAUUUUAAACAAUAAAUAAUGGCAAGUAUGAAGUUUCUCCUCUUCUCUUUGGACAAAUAUUAAAGAGUUUCAGUGUUGUUUUAAAAUUGUAAUACUUACAAUAUUGCAAGGAUUAUAUAAUUUUAACUAUUUAAACAUUAGAAAACUUGUAGAUAUCAGCUUACAUAUAUGUGAGGAAAGAACAUAAUUUUUUAAAACUUCUUUUAGGGGAUAUGUAAGCAAUAAAAAUUGGUUGCUGCCCUAGAUAAAGAUGCUCCUGCUUUAUGCUCCCAUAGGAAAUUUGUAAUCUCUCAAUUGAAUUUUAUCAUAAUGUGAUAUUAAUUUGUUUUGUUCAGUGGUUUAUAAUAUCUGAAGGCAAGAACUCCUUGCUUAGCAUUGUAUCUCCAGAGCCUUCUAUGUUGCCUGAUAUAGAGCAGCUCAAUAAUAUGUAUCCUUAAGAAUCAAAACGUUAUUCAAAGUGAAGAAAGCUGAAAACAAUUUAAAUGGCCAUCAGUAGAUGAAUGGGUAAAUGUGAAUUAUGGUAAUCCACAUGUUGGAAUACUGUGGAUAUUCUAAAAACUUAUGUUAUCAAAGAAUACUUAAUAUUAAGGAGCCAGGUCAGAGUGCCAGUCUAGAUUCUGGUUUGAUCUGUCAUAGAGUUUUCCUGAAUGAAAAAAAAAAA